UAUAAUACCACUGUUUUUUUAAAUUAUAAUAUAUACUACCGUUUUUAGUUACUAUAUUUGUACUAAUGUUACGUUUUUCACCUUUAAUAUAUGCUCCUAUAUUUUUAGUUUUAAUAUAUGCUUUUUUAGUUUAAUUGUAAUAUAUCUAUUUUCUUUUUUUUCUUUUUCUUUUUUAUAAUAUAUAUCUCUCUAUUUUUUUAAUUAAAAUAUAUACCUCUUUUUUAGUUAUAAUAUAUAUUUAUUGUUUUUUAGUUAUAUAUAUACAUAUAUA
rnacentral:lncRNA from 1 species